ensembl:lncRNA
CUAGAUAUCACAAAAUGUCUGCCGUCUAGAUAUCACAAAAUGUCUGCCGUCUUAUCUUCUCUAAAAAUUAUGAGAUGUUCUGUGGCAUUUUUUGUCUAAGGGUGUUCCAGCAAAAACACAAGCAUUUUUUCUUUGUUAUUUCCAUUCAAGGCUUUUAUCUAGUACUCUUUUUAAAAAAGAACUUUAUCCGAACACAAUCACGAUCAGUAACUCACUGACAAUGUCCUCCUAAGCGUUUGCCAAUACAUUAUGUAAGAACUCAUUGUUUGAUUUUAUUGCUGUGGUUUCAGACUACAGGUUACAUAAUUACAGAAUAUUCUUCAACUUUAAAGUGCUGAAAGAAAUAUAUAACCUUAUAAAUAUAUAAUCCAUUAUAUAACUCACAUCCCUGAUUUAAUGUGAACAAUAAGUUAAUAGACCCUAUGGGCCCUGUUCAAAAGUAGUGCACUAUUAACCAUUUUGUAUGCACACUUACAAAACUAAUCAAUAUGUUAGUCUGAAAGUAUUCAGAAUUACUUUUCCCACAUUUUGCUACAUUAGAGGCCUUAUUCUAAAAAUGGAUUCAAUAGUUUUUUCCCCCCUCAUCAAUUUACACACAAUAACCCAUAAUGACCUAGCAAAAAGGUUUUUAGAUAUUUUUUGCUAAUUUAUUAAAAAAUAAAAAACAGAUCACAUUUACAUAAGUAUCCAAACCCUUUACCCAGUACUUUGUUGAAGCACCUUUGGCAGCUAUUACAGCCUUGAGUCUUCUUGGGUAUGACGCUACAAGCUUGGCACAAAUGUAUUUGGAGAGUCUCUCAUUCUUCUCUGCAGAUCCUCUCAAGUUCUGUCAGGUUGGAUGGGGAGCAUUGCUGCACAGCUAUUUUCAGGUCUCUCCAGAGAUUUUCGAUCUGGUUCAUGUCCGGGCUCUGAUUGGGCCACUCAAGGACAUUCAGAGACUUGUCCCAAAGUCUCUCCUGCAUUGUUUUGGCUGUGUGCUUAGGGUCAUUGUCCUGCUGGAAGGUGAACCUUCGCCCCAGUCUGAGAUCCUGAGCGCUCUUGAGCAGAUUUUCAUCAAGGAUCUCUCUGUACUUUGCUCCGUUCAUCUUACACUCACUCCUGACUAAUCUCCCAGUCCCUGCCGCUGAAAAACAUCCCCACAGCGUGAUGCUGCCACCACCAUGCUUCACCAUAGGGAUGGUGCCAGGUUUCCUCCAGACAGGCCAAAGUGUUCAAUCUUGGUGUCAUCAGACCAGAGAAUCUUGUUUCUCAUGUUCUGAGAGUCUUUAGGUGCAUUUUGGGCUGUCAUGUGCCUUUUACUGAGGAGUGGCUUCUGUCUGGCCACUCUACCAUAAAGGCCUCAUUGGUGGAGUGCUGCAGAGAUGGUUGUCCUUCUGGAAAGUUCCUCCAUCUCUACAGAGGAACUCUAGAGCUCUGUCAGAGUGACCAUCGAGUUCUUGGUCACUUCCCUGACCAAGGCCCUUCUCCCCCGAUUCCUCAGUUUGGCUGGGUGGCCAGCUCUAGGAAGAGUCUCUUGGUGGUUCCAACUUCUUCCAUUUAAUAAUGAUGGAGGCCACUGUGUUCUAGGGGGCCUUUAAUGCUGCAGAAAUGUUUUCGUACCCUUCCCCAGAUCUGUGCCUCAACACAAUCCUGUCUCGGAGCUCUACGCACAAUUCCUUUGAACUCAUGGCUUGGUUUUUGCUCUGACAUGCAUUGUCAAUUGUGGGACCUUAUAUAGACAGGUGUGUGCCUUUCCAAAUCAUGUCCAAUCAAUUGAAUUUACCACAGGUGUUACGGUUUUCUAGGUGUGAAGGAGAGUCGGACCAAACUGCAGCGUGUAGAUUACAAUUCAUGUUUAAUGACAAACACACUAAACACAAACACUACAAAACAAUAAACGUAACGAAAACCGAAACAGCCUAUACUUGUGUAAACUAACACAGAACAAGGACAUCAGGACACUAAAGACAAUCACCCACGACAAACUCAAAGAAUAUGGCUGCCUAAAUAUGGUUCCCAAUCAGAGACAACGAUAAACACCUGCCUCUGAUUGAGAACCACUCCAGACAGCCAUAGACCUUGCUAGAUAACCCCACUAGCUACAAUCCCAAUACAUACACACCAAAACCCCAAGACAAAACACACCACAAUACAAAAACCCCAUGCCACACCCUGGCCUGACCCAAUACAUGAAGAAAAACACAAAAUACUUAGACCAGGGCGUGACAGAACCCCCCUAAGGUGCGGACUCCCGAACGCACCUCAAAACAAUAGGGAGGGUCCGGGUGGGCGUCUGUCCAUGGUGGCGGCUCCGGCGCAGGACGUGGAACCCACUCAGUCAAUGUCUUAGUCCCCUCUCCUCACGUCCCUGGAUAGUCCACCCUCGCCGCCGACCGUGGCCUAGUAGUCCUCACCCAGAACCCCACUGGACUGAGGAGCAGAUCGGGACUGAAGGACAGCUCGGGACUGAGGCAGCUCGGGAGUGAGAGAAAGCUCGGGAGUGAGAGAAAGCUCGGGAGUGAGAGGAAGCUCGGGAGUGAGAGGAAGCUCGGGAGUGAGAGGAAGCUCGGGAGUGAGAGGAAGCUCGGGAGUGAGAGGAAGCUCGGGAGUGAGAGGAAGCUCGGGAGUGAGAGGAAGCUCAGGCAGGUAGGUAGAUCUACCAGAUCCUGGCUGGCUGGUGGUUUCAGCAGAUCCUGGCUGACUGGCAGAUCCUGGCUGACUGGCAGAUCCUGGCUGACUGGCAGAUCCUGGCCGACUGGCAGUUCUGGCAGAUCCCGGCUGACUGGCGGAUCUGGAAGAGUCUGGCUGACUGGCAGAUCUGGAAGAGUCUGGCUGACUGGCAGAUCUGGAAGAGUCUGGCUGACUGGCAGAUCUGGAAGAGUCUGGCUGACUGGCGGAUCUGGAAGAGUCUGGCUGACUGGCGGAUCUGGAAGAGUCUGGCUGACUGGCGGAUCUGGAAGAGUCUGGCUGACUGACGGAUCUGGAAGAGUCUGGCUGACUGACGGAUCUGGAAGAGUCUGGCUGACUGGCGGAUCUGGAAGAGUCUGGCUGACUGGCAGAUCCUGGCAGACUGAAAGAUCUGGCUGCUCCAUGCUGACUGGCGGCUCUGGCUGCUCCAUGCUGACUGGCGGCUCUGGCUGCUCCAUGUAGGCUGACAGCUCUGGCGGCUUCUUACAGAUUGGCAGCUCUGGCGGCUCCGUGCAGACUGGCAGCUCCGUGCAGACUGGCAGCUCCUUACAGACUGGCAGCUCCUUGCAGACUGACAGCUCCUUGCAGACUGGCAGCUUCUUGCAGACUUGCAGCUGGGGCUGCUUCAUGCAGACUGACAGCUCUGGCUGCUCCAUGCAGACUGACAGCUCUGGCUGCUCCAUGCAGACUGACAGCUCUGGCUGCUCCAUGCAGACUGACAUCUCUGGCUGCUCCAUGCAGACUGACAGCUCCUUGCAGACUGACAGCUCUGGCUGUUCCAUGCAGACUGGCAGCUCUGGCUGUUCCAUGCAGACUGGCAGCUCUGGCUGCUCCAUGCAGACUGGCAGCUCUGGCUGCUCCAUGCAGACUGACAGCUCAGGCUGCUCCAUGCAGGCUGGCAGUUCUGGCUGCUCCAUGCAGACUGACAGCUCCUUGCAGACUGACAGCUCUGGCUGCUCCAUGCAGACUGACAGCUCUGGCUGCUCCAUGCAGACUGACAGCUCUGGCUGCUCCAUGCAGACUGACAGCUCUGGCUGCUCCAUGCAGACUGACAGCUCUGGCUGCUCCAUGCAGACUGACAGCUCUGGCUGCUCCAUGUAGGCUGGCAGCUCUGGCUGCGCUGAACAGGCAGGAGACUCCAGCAGCGCUGUAGAGGAGCAAGGCUCUGGCAGCGCUGAACAGGCGGGAGACUCCGGCAGCGCAGGAGAGGAGAAAGGCUCUGACAGCGCUGGAGAGGCGGGAGACUCCGACAGCGCAGGAGAGGCGAGGCGCACUGUAGGCCUGAUGCGUGGUGCUGGUACUGGUGGUACUGGACCGAGGACACGCACAGGAAGCCUGGUGCGGGGAGCUGCUACCGGAGGGCUGGGGUGUGGAGGUGGUACUGGAUAGACCGGACCGUGCAGGCGCACUGGAGCUCUUGAGCACCGAGCCUGCCCAACCUUACCUGGUUGAAUGCUCUUGGUCGCCCUGCCAGUGCGGCGAGGUGGAAUAGCCCGCACUGGGCUAUGCAGGCGAACCGGGGACACCGUGCGCAAGGCUGGUGCCAUGUAAGCCGGCCCAAGGAGACUCACUGGGGACCAGAUGCGUAGAGCCGGCUUCAUGGCAUUUGGCUCGACGCUCAAUCUAGCCCGGCCGAUACGCGGAGCUGGAAUAUACCGCACCGGGCUAUGCACCCGCACUGGGGACACCAUGCGCACCACUGCAUAACACGGUGCCUGCCCGGUCUCUCUAGCCCCCCGGUAAGCACAGGGAGUUUGCGCAGGUCUCCUACCUGGCGUAGCCAUACUCCCUGUGAGCCCCCCCCAAUAAAUUUUUGGGGCUGACUCCCGGGCUUCCUUGCCAACCGUGUUCCCUCGUAUCGCCGGCUCCUCUCUCCGGCUGCCUCUGCUCUCCUAAGUGCCUCCACCUGUUCCCAUGGAAGGCGAUCCCUUCCCGCCAGGAUCUCCUCCCAUGUGUAGCAACCCUUGCCAUCCAAUAUAUCAUCCCAUGUCCAAUCCUCAUUGCGCCGCUGUUGCUGCCUUUGUUGCUUCUCCUGUGGCUCCUGCCUGUUGACACGCCGCUUGGUCCGUUGGUGGUGGGUGAUUCUGUUACGGUUUUCUAGGUGUGAAGGAGAGUUGGACCAAACUGCAGCGUGUAGAUUACGAUUCAUGUUUAAUGACAAACACACUAAACACAAACACUACAAAACAAUAAACGUAACGAAAACCGAAACAGCCUAUACUUGUGUAAACUAACACAGAACAAGGACAUCAGGACACUAAGGACAAUCACCCACCACAAACUCAAAGAAUAUGGCUGCCUAAAUAUGGUUCCCAAUCAGAGACAAUGAUAAACACCUGCCUCUGAUUGAGAACCACUCCAGACAGCCAUAGACCUUGCUAGAUAACCCCACUAGCUACAAUCCCAAUACAUACACACCAAAACCCCAAGACAAAACACACCACAAUACAAAAACCCCAUGCCAAACCCUGGCCUGACCCAAUACAUGAAGAAAAACACAAAAUACUUAGACCAGGGCGUGACAACAGGUGGACUCCAAUCAAGUUGUAGAAACAUCUCAAGGAUGAUCAAAAGAAACAGGAUGCACCUGAGCUCAAUUUUGAGUCUCAUAGCAAAGGGUCUGAAUACUUAUGUAAAUAAGGUAUUUCUGUUUGUAUUUUAUUUUUUAUUUGUAAAUAUCUAACAACCUGUUUUCACUUUGCCAUUAUUGGGUAUUGUGUGUAGAUUGCUGAGGAAAAACAUUUAUUUAAUCCCUUUUAGAAUAAGGCUGUAAUGUAACAAAAUGUGGGGAAAAGUCAAGGGGUCUGAAUACUUUCCGAAUGGCACUGUAUAAGGCCAUGAGGUUUACCUGACCUGGGAAAUCUCUGGCGCCUGAUUCUGUCUGUGUAUUUAUUUGGAAGUAAAUGAUGGUUUUAAGAAUAUUUAUCUAGUAGACAUAGCAGCUUACCCAUUUGUUGAGCAACUGUGCCAAAAUGUUUUUUAUCUAACAUGACUGACUGCUACAUAAAUCUAAUAUCUAUUUCAAAGAGUUCCAUCAUCAUUAUUUAUUUCCCUCUUUUCUAAACACACAAUUUAGUUUUCUCCAUCUUGUUUAUAUUACCCUACAUGGAUGUAAUGGUGUUAACCAGCUGCUUUACUGGACAAAUUCCCAGUGGUGGAAAAAGUACUCAAUUGUCUUGAGUAAAAGUAGGUUCCCCAAUAGAAAAUUACUCCAGUAAAAGUCACCCAGUGAAAUACUACUUGAGUAAAAGUAGGUUCCCUAAUGGAAAAUGACUCCAUUAAAAGAGAAAGUCACCCAGUGAAAUACUA